UAACAAGAAUGAACCUUAUUUUGCUUUUGAUAUUCAAGCUAUAUUUGAGAUGGCUAAGUUUUCUUUCAUGACAAUUAUCGUCAUUGUCUUCUUUAUUUCAGCAAUGACAAAUGCUAGAAACAUAUGGUCAAAAGAAUGUGUCAUCACUCGUGAUGGUCAAUGCCUCCCGACAACUUGCAAAGAAUGGUGUUUAAAUACAUAUAAGGGUCAUGGAGCAUGCGUUGCUACCGUUGGAAAUCCUCCUACUUAUAAAUGUGUUUGCACAUACUAUUGUUCCACCUAGAAUAAAAAUGUUUAGCUUUAUUUUAAAUGUAAAACUGUAUUACAAUAAAUGGAUAAUCUCGAGAUAAAUACAAUUGCAAAAUUUUAUUUAA